CAGUCGCCGCGGUAAUACGAAGGGUGCAAGCGUUAAUCGGAAUUACUGGGCGUAAAGCGUGCGUAGGCGGUGAGUUAAGUCUGCUGUGAAAUCCCCGGGCUCAACCUGGGAAUGGCAGUGGAUACUGGCUCGCUAGAGUGUGUCAGAGGAUGGUGGAAUUCCCGGUGUAGCGGUGAAAUGCGUAGAGAUCGGGAGGAACAUCAGUGGCGAAGGCGGCCAUCUGGGACAACACUGACGCUGAGGCACGAAAGCGUGGGGAGCAAACAGGAUUAGAUACCCGCGUAGUCCCUGUCUCUUAUAC
rnacentral:rRNA from 1 species